rnacentral:rRNA from 1 species
AGCGAACGCUGGCGGCAGGCCUAACACAUGCAAGUCGAACGAAGUCUUCGGACUUAGUGGCGGACGGGUGAGUAACACGUGGGAACGUGCCUUUAGGUUCGGAAUAACUCAGGGAAACUUGUGCUAAUACCGAAUGUGCCCUUCGGGGGAAAGAUUUAUCGCCUUUAGAGCGGCCCGCGUCUGAUUAGCUAGUUGGUGAGGUAAAGGCUCACCAAGGCGACGAUCAGAAGCUGGUCUGAGAGGAUGAUCAGCCACAUUGGGACUGAGACACGGCCCAAACUCCUACGGGAGGCAGCGGUGGGGGAUCUUGCGCAAUGGGCGAAAGCCUGACGAAGCCAUGCCGCGUGAAUGAUGAAGGUCUUAGGAUUGUAAAAUUCUUUCACCGGGGACGAUAAUGACGGUACCCGGGGAAGAAGCCCCGGCUAACUUCGUGCCAGCAGCCGCCGUAA